CGGAAAGACAGACCCAAGAUAAGAAGUGGAUGAACUUUUCAGUGGAGGCACCAGACCAUGGCAGCCCUGGCAGAUUUCUAUUUUCUCAGUUAUCAAACUCAGUGUCUUGUCUUUUCUUUUUCUGGUGUGUCGCUCCUUUGCAAAACUCCAGAAAAGUGAUAGAGUUUUCUAUAUUUGCAGCAGCACACUACCCCUCUCACUUGAACUCAAACAUUUCCAUUUUUCACUAUAUGUCUCUUCCUGUCCCCACCUUCUGCGUUCAGGCUGACCUACCUUAUCACUUUUCUUUUUCUCCUGUUUUCUCUCAGUGCAUCCCUUCUCUGCUACCCUCGGGACUCUCUCAUCUUUCAUUUGUUGUCCUCAGCACCACCGGGCCGCCCCGCUGUUAGCUCUCUGUCAAUACCUCAGCAGGAACUGUCCCCGGUUGUACCAGUCAUAUUAACACUGUUUGGCACACAUGGAUGUCCAGGCACUUAAGGAACCAGCAGGGUGGCUGUGACACAAUGAAACGGUUGCAUUUCCCAUAUGUUUCGUGCCUUUCUUCACUUUCUCUCUCUUUGCUUCUGUCUCUUUUUUUUUUCAUCUGUCUCUCUUCCUCUCUGGUGACAGGGGUGGUGAAAGGAUCUCAGCCUCUGGGUGGAGACCUGUUGAAGGAUGUAUUUAACUGGAAGUACUGCAGCAAUGUGCAGUGCAAUGGAAGUUGAUGAGUGACACAGCAAAGGCUGGUGAUACAGAGGGGAGGACAUACAGCAAAGGGCUUUGGCUGAACUUGAACUUGGACUGCUGAGAUGAGGACUCGGCUUUAAUGGUCCGAAAUACACACACAUGCACAAACAGGACCUAUACAUGCCCAAAGUGGAGAGAUGUCAGAGUGAGGGGGCUGCCCUUGGUCAGGUGCCCCAAGCGGUUGGGGGGUUCAGUGCCUGGCUCAAGGGCACCCCGGCAGUGCCCAGGAGGUGAACCGGCACCUCUCCAGCCACCAGUCCACGCUCUGCAUUUGGUCUGGACAGGGACUUGAACCGGUGACCCUCCGGUUCCCAACCCAAGUCCGUAUGGGCUGAGCUACUGCCGCCCCCAAAUGUGAGCAUGUUAGCAUCAUUGUGAGCAUGUUACCCUUGUCCUUGUGAACAUGUUAGCAUUUUUGUUGUGUGCAUUUCGGCAUUUUCAUUGUGAGUCUGUAAACAUGUUAGAAUUGUCUUUGUUAGCAAGUUAGCAUUGUUAUUAUGAGCAUGUUAGCAUUGUCUUUGUGAGCAUAUGAACAUUAGCAUCAUUGUGAGCAUUGUCAGCGUUGUUAGCGUUGUCAAUGUGAGCAUUCUGGCCUUUUCCUUGUGACCAUGUUAGCAGCAUCAGUGUGACCAUGUUAGCAUUGUCAUUGUGAGCAUGUUAGAUUUGUCAUUGUGAACAUUUAAGCAUUGUUAUUGUGAGAAAGUUAGCAUUGUUGUUGUUAUGAGCAUUUUGAAAGUGUCAUCGUGAACAUAUGAGCAUGUUAGCAUCAUUGAGAGCACGCUAGCAUAGUCAUUGUGGGCAUGUUAAAUUUAAUAAGUUAAUUGAGUGAAUUGAGUCUUAGCAUUGUCCCUGUGAGCAUGUUGGAUUUGUCAUUGUAAUUAUGCUAGCAUUGUCAUAGUGUGAGCAGUCUAGCAUUGUUAUCAUGAGCAUGUUAGCAAUGUCAAUGUGAGCAUUUUGGCAUUGUCCUCACGUUAGCAUUGUCCUUGUGAGCAUGUUAGCAGCAUCAGUGUGGGUCCAUGUCAUUGGUUCGACAGCCCAUUGGUUUCGACAUCCCAUUAGUCCGACUGUCCACGGUGCUGAACGGCUCGCGGCGGGCGUAUGGUGCGCCGCGACCGGCUUGAGGCGGAGCAUGCUCACGGCUUAUGUGUUUGUCACUUUCUUUUUCAUUUUAACCCACACCAUGAUCUUUUCCUGACCCUAACCAAGUGGUUUUUGUGCCUAAACCUAACCAGACCUUAACCACAGGGCAUCAUGAUGAUUUCGGAACGGAUUUCGGAACAAUGAGUUUAAUAUGUUCGGAACAAUGGGAUGUCGAACCAAUGGGCUGUCGAACCAAUGGGCAGUUCCCAUCAGUGUGACCAUGUUAGUGUUGUCAUUUUGAGUGAAUUAGCUUUUAUC